CCUACGGGGGGCAGCAGUGGGGAAUAUUGCACAAUGGGCGCAAGCCUGAUGCAGCCAUGCCGCGUGUAUGAAGAAGGCCUUCGGGUUGUAAAGUACUUUCAGCGGGGAGGAAGGUGUUGAGGUUAAUAACCUCAGCAAUUGACGUUACCCACAGAAGAAGCACCGGCUAACUCCGUGCCAGCAGCCGCGGUAAUACGUAGGGUGCAAGCGUUAAUCGGAAUUACUGGACGUAAAGCGCACGCAGGCGGUCUGUCAAGUCGGAUGUGAAAUCCCCGGGCUCAACCUGGGAACUGCAUUCGAAACUGGCAGGCUAGAGUCUUGUAGAGGGGGGUAGAAUUCCAGGUGUAGCGGUGAAAUGCGUAGAGAUCUGGAGGUAUACCGGUGGCGAAGGCGGCCCCCUGGACAAAGACUGACGCUCAGGUGCGAAAGCGUGGGGAGCAAACAGGAUUAGAUACCCUCGUAGUC
rnacentral:rRNA from 1 species